rnacentral:rRNA from 1 species
GAUGAACGCUGGCGGCGUGCUUAACACAUGCAAGUCGAACGAUGAAGCCCAGCUUGCUGGGUGGAUUAGUGGCGAAAGGGUGAGUAACACGUGAGUAACCUGCCCUUAACACUGGGAUAAGCCUGGGAAACUGGGUCUAAUACAGGAUAGGAGCGUCCACCGCAUGGUGGGUGUUGGAAAGAUUUAUCGGUUUUGGAUGGACUCGCGGCCUAUCAGCUUGUUGGUGUGGUAAUGGCUCACCAAGGCGACGACGGGUAGCCGGCCUGAGAGGGUGACCGGCCACACUGGGACUGAGACACGGCCCAGACUCCUACGGGAGGCAGCAGUGGGGAAUAUUGCACAAUGGGCGGAAGCCUGAUGCAGCGACGCCGCGUGAGGGAUGACGGCCUUCGGGUUGUAAACCUCUUUCAGUAGGGAAGAAGCGAAAGUGACGGUACCUGCAAAAGAAGCACCGGCUAACUACGUG